rnacentral:rRNA from 1 species
GAUGAACGCUAGCGGGAGGCCUAACACAUGCAAGCUGAGCGGUAUUUCUUCUUCGGGAGAGAGAGCGGCGUACGGGUGCGGAACACGUGUGCAACCUGCCUUUAUCUAGAGGAUAGCCUUUCGAAAGGAAGAUUAAUACUCUAUAAUAUAUUAAUUGGCAUCAAUUGAUAUUGAAAACUCCGGUGGAUAGAGAUGGGCACGCGCAAGAUUAGCUAGUUGGUGAGGUAACGGCUCACCAAGGCAAUGAUCUUUAGGGGGCCUGAGAGGGUGAUCCCCCACACUGGUACUGGGACACGGACCAGACUCCUACGGGAGGCAGCAGUGAGGAAUAUUGGUCAAUGGGUGCAAGCCUGAACCAGCCAUCCCGCGUGAAGGAUUAAGGUCCUAUGGAUUGUAAACUUCUUUUGUAUAGGGAUAAACCUACCCUCGUGAGGGUAGCUGAAGGUACUAUACGAAUAAGCACCGGCUAACUCCGUGCCAGCCGCCGCAGUAACAC